ACACAAAUAAGCUCUAAACGGCGGAUCUCCAUGACACGGUGAUAAUAAUACCCGGAAUAAUUUGGCAACUCGUUCCUCUGCCUCCCCUUGUUUGUUCGUUUGGAAAAUCCCACAAAAAACAGUAUCAAUCAGCAGCUUCCCAAUUUAAGCACUCAUCAGUAAAGCUCAUCACUUGCAUAUCAAAAGACCAAAAAGAUGUCUUCAAAAAUAGCUCAAAUUGGUCUGGUGAGUUCGCACCCUGAAGUUUAUGAGCCAUGUGAUGAUUCGUUUGCUUUAGUUGAUGCACUUUUAGCUGAUAAAACUAAUCUAUUGGAUCAAAACCCUAGAGUUUGUCUCGAAAUCGGUUGCGGUAGUGGCUAUGUUAUUACUUCUCUAGCACUUAUACUUAGUCAGAACAGUCCGGGGGCUUACUAUAUUGCAACUGAUACCAAUCCUCAUGCCGUGAGAGUCACCCGUGAGACGUUAAAUGCUCACGGUGUUGAUGCGGAGUUGGUUAAAACCGACAUUGUAUCUGGGCUCGAGAAGCGAUUGGAAGGAAUGGUGGAUGUUAUGGUUGUGAAUCCGCCUUAUGUUCCUACCCCGGAAGAUGAGGUGGGUCGUGAUGGGAUUGCGUCUGCUUGGGCUGGUGGAGAGAAUGGUCGGAGAGUUAUUGAUCGAAUACUGCCCGUUGUUGACACUCUUUUGUCUGAAAAAGGAUGGUUGUAUAUGGUCACUCUUAUAGCUAAUGACCCUUCACAACUAUGUCGUCAAAUGAGAAACAAGGGUUAUGCUUCGAGAAUUGUUGUCCAGAGAUCAACAGAGGAAGAGAUUCUUCAUAUUAUCAAGUUCUGGCGAGACUCUUCUAUCACUCAACUUGAUACGAAGAAAACCUUAUCAACAAAUAAAACAAUGUCUGAGAGGGUCAUUGAAUCAUUGACUUCACAACUUCCUCAGUUGUCAUUCUGGAGAAACGGAAGUAGCGACAACUGAUCAAACGCGAAUGUCAUUGAAGGAAAUGAUCACAAAUGUUAUGUGAGAGAAGCGCACGUUAUGCUUAUACUAUAUCUAGUGGGGCUUGGGUUAAAUUACAUCAACACUGAUUUGAUCUGAGAUCUUUUAUUGAAAUAUUAAUUGAUGAUCGGGAAAAUGUAAAGUUGUGGCCGGAAUUUUUGGAUUUAGAACAAGUUGCAGUUGCGCCAAGGUGAGAGCUUCAAAUGCAGACUAGUCAUUUAAACCAAAGAUUUUUCAGAAGAAUUUAUUCUCACAUGAACUGGCGGAGUGUACUGAAAUCAUAUCUGGGGCAGUCUAUUUUUCAUAUUUUGCAUUACAGGAUCCUGAUUGCGACAACUUUUCCCUUUUGCUAGAGAUGUUGGCUGUCGCACUAAUUUAUGAAGCAGCUGUUUUAUGAUAACUCUUCUGAAAAUCUAGGCAGCAUUUUAUGUAUUGUUCAUGUGUUUCCCCAUGUACUGGUGUGCCCAUGGACAGAUGCACAGAGGUAGGAAAUUGGAAAAAGGAAAAUCUUCAACGAGCAGCUGCUUUGUCAGUAACUGGAGUUGAAGUUUCUUGUUGAAUGCUAGAGAUAACAUUAUUUUUAGCAGAAGAUUUAGAACUUCGCUUUUAAGUUUCGAGUAUUUCUUGUUCCCAUGCUAUGUGUUGUAAAAUGAUUGUAUCCGGAGUUUUUCAUUAUUAGUUUCAGUUAGUUCACCAAUCAA